rnacentral:rRNA from 1 species
GACGAACGCUGGCGGCGUGCCUAAUACAUGCAAGUAGAACGCUGAAGGAGGAGCUUGCUUCUCUGGAUGAGUUGCGAACGGGUGAGUAACGCGUAGGUAACCUGCCUGGUAGCGGGGGAUAACUAUUGGAAACGAUAGCUAAUACCGCAUAAGAGUAGAUGUUGCAUGACAUUUGCUUAAAAGGUGCAAUUGCAUCACUACCAGAUGGACCUGCGUUGUAUUAGCUAGUUGGUGAGGUAACGGCUCACCAAGGCAACGAUACAUAGCCGACCUGAGAGGGUGAUCGGCCACACUGGGACUGAGACACGGCCCAGACUCCUACGGGAGGCAGCAGUAGGGAAUCUUCGGUAAUGGACGGAAGUCUGACCGAGCAACGCCGCGUGAGUGAAGAAGGUUUUCGGAUCGUAAAGCUCUGUUGUAAGAGAAGAACGAGUGUGAGAGUGGAAAGUUCACACUGUGACGGUAUCUUACCAGAAAGGGACGGCUAACUACGU